UACGUAGGAGGCAAGCGUUGUCCGGAAUCAUUGGGCGUAAAGAGCUCGUAGGCGGUUUGUCGCGUCGGCUGUGAAAACCUAGGGCUCAACCCUGGGCUUGCAGCCGAUACGGGCAAACUAGAAUUCGGUAGGGGAGACUGGAAUUCCUGGUGUAGCGGUGAAAUGCGCAGAUAUCAGGAGGAACACCGGUGGCGAAGGCGGGUCUCUGGGCCGAUAUUGACGCUGAGGAGCGAAAGCGUGGGGAGCGAACAGG
rnacentral:rRNA from 1 species